rnacentral:rRNA from 1 species
UACGGAGGGUGCAAGCGUUGCUCGGAAUCAUUGGGCGUAAAGAGCUCGUAGGCGGCUCGGUAAGUCGGGUGUGAAACCCCCAGGCUCAACCUGGGGACGCCACCCGAUACUGCUGUGGCUAGAGUCCAGUAGGGGAGUGUGGAAUUCCCGGUGUAGCGGUGAAAUGCGCAGAUAUCAGGAAGAACACCCGUGGCGAAGGCGGUUCUCUGGGACGGUACUGACGCUGAGACGCGAAAGCGUGGGGAGCGAACAGG